AGAGUUUGAUUCUGGCUCAGAACGAACGCUGGCAGCGUGGAUUAGGCAUGCAAGUCGAACGGGAAGCGUGGGGUUCAAUCUUCGGAGAGAAACCUGCGUGGAUAGUGGCGGAAGGGUGAGUAACGCGUGGGUAAGCUGCCUUCAAGUUGGGGAUAACUCUGCGAAAGCGGGGCUAAUACCGGAUGUGGUUCCGUAACGCCUGUUACGGUAACUAAAGGUGGGGAUCUUCGGACCUGCCGCUUGAUGAGGCGCCCGCGUGCCAUCAGCUUGUUGGUAGGGUAAUGGCCUACCAAGGCUUACGGCUAGCUGGUCUGAGAGGAUGAUCAGCCACACUGGGACUGAGACACUGCCCAGACUCCUACGGGAGGCUGCAGUCGAGGAUCAUUCGCAAUGCGCGAAAGCGUGACGAUGCGACGCUGCGUGGAGGAUGACUGCCUUCGGGUUGUAAACUCCUGUCACCGGGGAAAAACAGCCAUUUGGUGAACAGCCUUUUGGUUUGAUGGUACCUGGAGAGGAAGCCACGGCUAACUCUGUGCCAGCAGCCGCGGUAAUACAGAGGUGGCGAGCGUUGUUCGGAUUUACUGGGCGUAAAGCGUGCGUAGGCGGCAUUGUAAGUCGGAUGUGAAAUCCCGGGGCUCAACUCCGGAACGGCAUCCGAAACUGCAAAGCUUGAGUGCAGGAGGGGAGAGCAGAAUUCACGGUGUAGCGGUGAAAUGCGUUGAUAUCGUGAAGAAUACCGGUGGCGAAGGCGGCUCUCUGGAAUGCAACUGACGCUGAGGCACGAAAGCGUGGGGAGCAAACAGGAUUAGAUACCCUGGUAGUCCACGCCGUAAACGGUGCGCACUUGUCGUUGGGGGAGUUAACCCCCUCAGUGACGGAGCUAACGCGUUAAGUGCGCCGCCUGGGGAGUACGGCCGCAAGGCUAAAACUCAAAGAAAUUGACGGGGGCCCGCACAAGCGGAGGAGCAUGUGGCUUAAUUCGAUGCAACGCGAAGAACCUUACCUGGGUUUGACAUCGGAGAGGCUUGCCUCUAUCGCGUGAAAGCGUGAGAACCAGACAGGUGCUGCAUGGCUGUCGUCAGUUCGUGCCGUGAGGUGUUGGGUUAAGUCCCGCAACGAACGCAACCCCUGUGGUUAGUUGCCCCCCUGUCUUCGGACAGGCGCACUCUAGCCAGACUGCCCGUGUAAUCGGGAGGAAGGUGGGGACGACGUCAAGUCCGUAUGGCCCUUACACCCAGGGCUGCACACGUGCUACAAUGGCCGGUCCAGAGGGCAGCGAAGCCGCGAGGUGGAGCAAAUCCCCAAAGCCGGCCUCAGUUCGGAUUGUAGUCUGCAACUCGACUACAUGAAGUCGGAUUCGCUAGUAACGGCGUAUCAGCUACGACGCCGUGAAUACGUUCCCGGGCCUUGUACACACCGCCCGUCACAUCAUGAAAGCCGUCUGCACCCGAAGUCGCUGAGCUAAUCAUUUAUUUGAAGGCAGGUGCCGAAGGUGUGGGUGGUGAUUGGGAUGAAGUCGAAACAAGGUA
rnacentral:rRNA from 1 species